GGGAGAUUCAUAUGCUCAGUAGAUUUCAAACAAGCAUAUGAGUCACCAGCCAGCCAUUUGGGAUCUUCAGUAACUGAAAACUCUGCUGAAGCUAGCUCCCUGCCAUGUCCAACACCCCUGUGGAAGACGAACUCUGCAGAUCUGCCAAGAAAUCAUCCCAGACACCUCAUCCUUAGAUGCAUCCUUGGCAUUCAAACCAAUUGAAACAGACAAUAUUUUACCAAGAAAACGGAAGACAGCAAUGAAAUGCAUUGUCAGAGCAACUGUGUAUGCCAUUUUGAAGCAAUGUUUAAUGCAAAAUAUGUAUAAUUCUUGUGAGGGGUGCCUAAUUCAGGCCCCAUCUCAGAAAAGACAUGACUGUCUGACCUGGACAAAUCCUGUCCUUUCUAGAAUGUUGAGAAUUAUAUGUGGAAAGAUCUGUUUUAAAAGUGUGCUCCAUGUUGUUAUCUUAGCAUCAUACAGUCUGAAUUGUCUUAUUCUAACACAAGCAACUGUUGAUGCAGUAUUAACCCUUGUAACAAGGGUAGGCCGUUCCCAGAAGUCUGUCAAAUUUGUUGAAAAGAUACUGAGAGACACUGACCAGUCAUAU